rnacentral:rRNA from 1 species
ACACGACUACAUUAGAUACCCCGGUAGUCCUAGCCGUAAACGAUACUCGCUAGGUGUCGGCCACGGUGCGACCGUUGUCGGUGCCGUAGGGAAGCCGUGAAGCGAGCCACCUGGGAAGUACGGCCGCAAGGCUGAAACUUAAAGGAAUUGGCGGGGGAGCACAACAACGGGUGGAGCUUGCGGUUUAAUUGGAUUCAACGCCGGAAAUCUUACCGGGACCGACAGCAACAUGAAGGCCAAGCUGAAGACUUUGCCGGAUUAGCUG